rnacentral:rRNA from 1 species
UACGGAGGAUCCAAGCGUUAUCCGGAAUCAUUGGGUUUAAAGGGUCCGUAGGCGGCCUUAUAAGUCAGUGGUGAAAUCUCCCGGCUCAACCGGGAAAUGGCCAUUGAUACUGUAGGGCUUGAAUUAUUAGGAAGUAACUAGAAUAUGUAGUGUAGCGGUGAAAUGCUUAGAUAUUACAUGGAAUACCGAUUGCGAAGGCAGGUUACUACUAAUUGAUUGACGCUGAUGGACGAAAGCGUGGGAGCGAACAGG